UGGGCCCGUAGCUCAACUGGACAGAGCAUCGGCCUUCUAAGCCGAGGGCUGCAGGUUCGAGUCCUGCCGGGCUCACCAA
rnacentral:tRNA from 1 species